GCUGUGGCUCAGUGGCAGAGCAUCUGCUUUGAUUGCUGAAGGUCCCAGGUUCAAUCCCAGCUGGGAGAGACU